UACGGAGGGGGCUAGCGUUGUUCGGAAUUACUGGGCGUAAAGCGCGCGUAGGCGGACCUGCAAGUCGGGGGUGAAAGCCCGAGGCUCAACCUCGGAACUGCCUUCGAUACUGCGGGUCUCGAGUCCGGGAGAGGUGAGUGGAAUUCCUAGUGUAGAGGUGAAAUUCGUAGAUAUUAGGAAGAACACCAGUGGACGGCAAGGCGGCUCACUGGCCCGGUACUGACGCUGAGGCGCGAAAGCGUGGGGAGCAAACAGG
rnacentral:rRNA from 1 species